GGUCAUCUUACCCCCAUUCCUGCUGUAUCAUACAUGAAAGAAAUAAUGUCAUAAAUGUACACCAAAAAUAAAAGGAUAGUAUGUGUAUAUUAAACAAGUUUUUUUCUUUAUGUUUUUGCAUCAAUGCUUUUCAUCCUUUCAAAACGGAACCGGAAAUGCUUUUUCUUUCGUCUGCCAUUGGAAGAUGUUUCCAUGGAAUCAUUAAUGUAUGUUAUAAAAUUCUAAAAGUGGUUAAAAUCUUUAAUUGAAUGAAAGUUGAGCAUGGCAAAUCCAUUUAAUGCAUAGCAUUUACAUGUACCAAACUGUACAUUCUUUCAAACCAUAGAGCUCCCUCAAAGUACAUUAAUAGCCGGGGUUUGCGAUGUCGAAGGAAACCAUACACAUCCCUAAAUAUUUUUCUUCUGAUGUUCAAAAUCAGGUCUCGCUUUCUUUUGGCCAGUGGAUUGAUAUUGUCUCUUGAAAAUGAUUUCCAUGUCUGAUGUAUUAAGACUAAAAAUAUACUUAUAUCAAUAAGAUAUACACCGUGUUCUGUGUUUAAUUGUUUCUCCUUACUAAAAAUAUACAUGUAGUAUAUUAUUACAUGCAAGACGCAGAUUUUAUACGUGUUUAUUGUGGUGUAUUUCAAGUUAUCAAUUUCUUCUGCUUCUUGAAAGCUUAUAUAGUUAUAUUGCCUUGUUACGUUAUCACCGUUGUUUGUUGAACUUAUAAAAUGUAUAUACAUAU
rnacentral:sRNA from 1 species